CCGCGACAGUGAGUCGGCUCAGUCUUAGAUUGAUUUGGCUCACCUACGAUUGAGUCGACUUAGACUGGCAUUGAGUUGACUCACCUAUGCACCAUGCCAUAAUUUUUCGAGAGACCCCUUUCUAUUUGUUUGAGACAUAGUCAUCCCAGACUAGAAUUGGGUCGACCCACCUGUGACUUAGUCAAUCCAAUCUUAGUCUGAGCCGACUAACACCCUGAAUCUACUUGUUUCUCCAUAGCUUUAGCCUUGGCUCUAGUUCCUUGC
rnacentral:lncRNA from 1 species